CCUACGGGAGGCAGCAGUGGGGAAUAUUGGACAAUGGGGGCAACCCUGAUCCAGCCAUGCCGCGUGUGUGAAGAAGGCCCUCGGGUUGUAAAGCACUUUCAGUGAGGAAGAACGCCUGGUGGUUAAGACCCAUCAGGAAAGACAUCACUCACAGAAGAAGCACCGGCUAACUCCGUGCCAGCAGCCGCGGUAAUACGGAGGGUGCGAGCGUUAAUCGGAAUUACUGGGCGUACAGCGCGCGUAGGUGGCUUGAUAAGCCGGUUGUGAAAGCCCCGGGCUCAACCUGGGAACGGCAUCCGGACCUGUCAAGCUAGAGUGCAGGAGAGGAAGGUAGAAUUCCCGGUGUAGCGGUGAAAUGCGUAGAGAUCGGGAGGAAUACCAGUGGCGAAGGCGGCCUUCUGGACUGACACUGACACUGAGGUGCGAAAGCGUGGGUAGCACACAGGAUUAGAUACCCCGGUAGUC
rnacentral:rRNA from 1 species